GUGUUCCCUUCGGCAGCACCUACACUAAAACUGCAACGAUACAGAGAAGAUUAGCAUGGCCCCUACGUGAGGAUGACAUGAGCAUUCCUGAAGCGUUCUGUAUUUAA